AACGAACGCUGGCGGCAUGCCUAACACAUGCAAGUCGAACGAGACCUUCGGGUCUAGUGGCGCACGGGUGCGUAACGCGUGGGAACCUGCCCUUAGGUUCGGAAUAACUCCCCGAAAGGGGUGCUAAUACCGGAUAAUGUCUUCGGACCAAAGAUUUAUCGCCUUUGGAUGGGCCCGCGUUGGAUUAGCUAGUUGGUAGGGUAAAAGCCUACCAAGGCGACGAUCCAUAGCUGGUCUGACAGGAUGAUCAGCCACACUGGGACUGAGACACGGCCCAGACUCCUACGGGAGGCAGCAGUGGGGAAUAUUGGACAAUGGGCGAAAGCCUGAUCCAGCAAUGCCGCGUGAGUGAUGAAGGCCUUAGGGUUGUAAAGCUCUUUUACCCGGGAUGAUAAUGACAGUACCGGGAGAAUAAGCUCCGGCUAACUCCGUG
rnacentral:rRNA from 1 species